CCGGCACGGGUGAGUAACACGUAUCCAACCUGCCGUCUACUCUUGGACAGCCUUCUGAAAGGAAAGAUUAAUACAAGAUGGCAUCAUGAGUUCACAUGUUCACAUGAUUAAAGGUAUUCCGGUAGACGAUGGGGAUGCGUUCCAUUAGAUAGUAGGCGGGGUAACGGCCCACCUAGUCUUCGAUGGAUAGGGGUUCUGAGAGGAAGGUCCCCCACAUUGGAACUGAGACACGGUCCAA
rnacentral:rRNA from 1 species